rnacentral:rRNA from 1 species
GAGUAAUGCUUAGGAAUCUGCCCAUCAGGUGGGGGACAACCCGGGGAAACAAAGGGCUAAUACCGCAUAAGUCCUACGGGAGAAAGCGGGGGACCGCAAGGCCUCGCGCUGAUGGAUGAGCCUAAGUCCGAUUAGCUAGUUGGUAGGGUAAAAGCCUACCAAGGCGACGAUCGGUAGCUGGUCUGAGAGGAUGAUCAGCCACACUGGGACUGAGACACGGCCCAGACUCCUACGGGAGGCAGCAGUGGGGAAUAUUGGACAAUGGGCGCAAGCCUGAUCCAGCAAUGCCGCGUGUGUGAAGAAGGCCUGCGGGUUGUAAAGCAC